rnacentral:rRNA from 1 species
GAGUAACGCGUGGGUAACCUGCCUUGUACUGGGGGAUAGCAGCUGGAAACGGCUGGUAAUACCGCAUAAGCGCACAAUGUUGCAUGACAUGGUGUGAAAAACUCCGGUGGUAUAAGAUGGACCCGCGUCUGAUUAGCUAGUUGGUGAGAUAACAGCCCACCAAGGCGACGAUCAGUAGCCGACCUGAGAGGGUGACCGGCCACAUUGGGACUGAGACACGGCCCAGACUCCUACGGGAGGCAGCAUG